rnacentral:rRNA from 1 species
ACUAAACACUAGGUAGUAGUAUAUUAUUACUAACCCAAUAUGAACUGGCGGCAUUUAAUAUACCUAGAGGAACCUGUUUUUUAAUCGAUACCCCACGUUAAUCUUCACUUAAUAUGACAUUUUAUAUACCGCCGUUCAAAGAGUUUUAUUUUAAUAUUUCUCUAAAUUUUAAAAGAAAUCAGGUAAAGGUGUAAACAAAAAUUAAGUUAAAAUGGGUUACUAUAAUCUUAAAUUAAGGAUUAAUAAACAAAUUUAUUAUAAAACAGGAUUUACAAGUAAAAAUUAAAUAUUUACUAAUUUUAAAUUAAUUAUUAAUGUGC